rnacentral:rRNA from 1 species
ACCUUUACGUUGCCUCGGCGGCGUCCGCUUCGGCGGCCCGCCAGAGGACCCAAACUCUUGUAUUUGAAUUGAGUAUUCUCUGAGUGAUACAAGCAAUAAAUUAAAACUUUCAACAACGGAUCUCUUGGUUCUGGCAUCGAUGAAGAACGCAGCGAAAUGCGAUAAGUAAUGUGAAUUGCAGAAUUCAGUGAAUCAUCGAAUCUUUGAACGCACAUUGCGCCCGCCAGUAUUCUGGCGGGCAUGCCUGUUCGAGCGUCAUUUCAACCCUCAAGCCCCCGGGCUUGGUGUUGGAGAUCGGCAACUGCCCCUUGCGGGUGCGCCGUCUCCCAAAUCUAGUGGCGGUCUCGCUGUAGCUUCCUCUGCGUAGUAAUUCACCUCGCUCUGGAACGCAGCGCGGCCACGCCGUUAAACCCCCCACUUCUGAAGGUUGACCUCGGAUCAGGUAGGACUACCCGCUGAACUUAA